GAUGAACGCUGACAGAAUGCUUAACACAUGCAAGUCUACUUGAAUUUGGGUUUUUUAACUUCGAUUUGGGUGGCGGACGGGUGAGUAACGCGUAAAGAACUUGCCUCACAGCUAGGGACAACAUUUGGAAACGAAUGCUAAUACCUGAUAUUAUGAUUAUAAGGCAUCUUAGAAUUAUGAAAGCUAUAUGCGCUGUGAGAGAGCUUUGCGUCCCAUUAGCUAGUUGGAGAGGUAACGGCUCACCAAGGCGAUGAUGGGUAGCCGGCCUGAGAGGGUGAACGGCCACAAGGGGACUGAGACACGGCCCUUACUCCUACGGGAGGCAGCAGUGGGGAAUAUUGGACAAUGGACCAAGAGUCUAAUCCAGCAAUUCUGUGUGCACGAUGACGUUUUUCGGAAUGUAAAGUGCUUUCAGUUGGGAAGAAAAAAAUGACGGUACCAACAGAAGAAGUGACGGCUAAAUACGUG
rnacentral:rRNA from 1 species